AAACCUCUGACCCCUCUACCGCCAGUGUUCAGUUCAACAGCAACCAGAGUGGUUCUUUUCUUCCUCGGCAUUGUUUGCGUCACUGAAGAAGUGUCAACAGCCAAGAUCAGGCCAAGGACAGAAGGAAAAGAGGUUUCAGAGCUUGAAGAAGGCUGACAAACGCAUCUUAUCUGCGCCAUCUGUCACUAAAUCACUGCUUGGCCAACUGGGAGCGAUGGGAUGAGGUCUGGGUUGUGGUGGGAGCAGGCUCUGAAAGACAGCUCACACCUCAUGGGGGCACUGAUCUGGAUGGCCUCCUCCCAAGGCAAGCUCCACCAGGCUCCCCUGGUUGCCCUUUUCCAUUUG